rnacentral:lncRNA from 1 species
AUUCUUCUCCCUUUUCCAAUAAUUGCUGCACAUGCAGGAACUAGCUCAUUUACUGGCUUUGAAUAUAUACAGAUCCAGGAGAUAUGAAAUAAUUUUAGGAGCCACAGAAAAUACUGUAAACUUUUCACUCCUCAGUGUCUUAACACUCAGAUUCUUGUGGAGGAAAACCCUAGAGACUCCUUCAAUUCAAUUCAGUUCAAUUCAAUUAAAAAAGUAUUACCUUUCUCAGAAGACCAUCUGUUAUGCCUCUUUCUGAUUGUUCUUCUCUCUUUUCUUCAGGGUCAACUUGAAAAACCUGGCCCCUGAGUUUCACCUUUCAAAAUCCUUUUCUCAUUAAAAACCCGAACAAUCCACCAGCAACUCAUGAGCUAGCAGCAGAAAAGAUGACAGAGCUGGGGCUGGCAGAGCGAGGAAUGAAAGAGAGAGAACAGAUCAGUGUUCAGUUUGAAAGAGCCAUAAUUCAGCAGUCUUUCUACAUUACCUCUCAGAAGAAGGAGCCUGCAUGUCUAAAGAGAGAAGUGAAGUUUAAGUACUGGAAAAAAGGAAAGUCUUCAGCCUUGGGAAUGUAAUAACCUGGGGUCAGCUGAGAACCCUGAGGAGGACUGACCCAAUCAGCUGCUGGGAGAAGCAACAUAACUGUUCUGCUGGAGGGAGAAACAAAUUCUAAUCAGAUGUGAACCAACUAUCCAGGGAGCUUCUGUUGUCAUGAGAAAAGGAAGUGCUCUUCCUUUCAACUGGAAAACUAGAAUGUACCACUUUUUUUUU